rnacentral:rRNA from 1 species
UACGUAGGGUGCGAGCGUUGUCCGGAAUUACUGGGCGUAAAGAGCUCGUAGGUGGUUUGUCGCGUUGUUCGUGAAAACUCACAACUCAAUUGUGGGCGUGCGGGCGAUACGGGCAGACUGGAGUACUGCAGGGGAGACUGGAAUUCCUGGUGUAGCGGUGGAAUGCGCAGAUAUCAGGAAGAACACCCGUGGCUAAGGCGGCUCUCUAGUACGGUACUGACGCUGAGACGCGAAAGCGUGGGGAGCGAACAGG